CGUUAGUAGUCAUACGCUUGUCUCAAAGAUUAAGCCAUGCAUGUGUAAGUAUAAACAAUUCUAUACUGUGAAACUGCUUAUGGCUCAUUAUAUCAGUUAUAGUUUAUUUGAUAGUAUCUUACUACUUGGAUAACCGUAGUAAUUCUAGAGCUAAUACAUGCGUAAACUCCCGACUUCUGGAAGGGAUGUAUUUAUUAGAUUGAAACCAAUCGAGCUUGCUCGUAUUGAGGUGAGUCAUAAUAACUUAUCGGAUCGCAGUAGCCUCACGGCGGCGAUGAAUCAUUCAAGUUUCUGCCCUAUUUUUUUUCUAUGGUAGUGUAUUGGACUACCAUGGCGGUAACGCCUAACGAAGAAUAAGGGUUCGAUUUCAGAGAGGGAGCCUGAGAGACGGCUACCACAUUCAAGGAAGGCAUCAGGCGCGUAAAUUACCC
rnacentral:rRNA from 1 species